rnacentral:rRNA from 2 species
ACUCCUACGGGUGGCUGCAGUGAGGAAUAUUGCGCAAUGGGCGAAAGCCUGACGCAGCGACGCCGCGUGGGGGAAGAAGGUUUUCGGAUUGUAAACCCCUUUUAGGAGGAAAGAUGGGGUGGGUUUCCACCCGGACGGUACCUCCAGAAAAAGCCACGGCUAACUUCGUGCCAGCAGCCGCGGUAAUACGAAGGUGGCGAGCGUUGUUCGGAUUUACUGGGCGUAAAGAGCACGUAGGCGGUUUAGUAAGCCCCUUGGGAAAGCUAUGGGCUUAACCCAUAAAGGUCGAGGGGGACUGCUAAGCUAGAGGGCGGGAGAGGAGCGCGGAAUUUCCGGUGUAGCGGUGAAAUGCGUAGAUAUCGGGAAGAAGGCCGGUGGCGAAGGCGGCGCUCUGGAACGUCUCUGACGCUGAGGUGCGAAAGCGUGGGGGGCAAACAGGAUUAGAUACCCUGGUAGUCCACGCCGUAAACAAUGGGCACUAAGUGUCGGCAGGUUACUGCCGGUGCCGCAGUUAACGCAGUAAGUGCCCCGCCUGGGGAGUACGGCCGCAAGGUUGAAACUCAAAGGAAUUGACGGGGGCCCGCACAAGCGGCGGAGCAUGUGGUUUAAUUCGACGCAACGCGAAGAACCUUACCCAGGUUGGACAUGCUCGUGGAAAAGCUUGAAAGAGUAAAGACCCCUUCGGGGGGGCGAGCUCAGGUGCUGCAUGGCUGUCGUCAGCUCGUGUCGUGAGAU